AGAACGAACGCUGGCGGCAGGCCUCAAACAUGCAAGUCUAGGGGGGCGUAGCAAUACGUCACCGGCGGACGGGUGCGUAACACGUGGGAAUGUACUUAUUGGUUCGGAACAACUCAGGGAAACUUGAGCUAAUACCGAAUGUGCCCGUAAGGGGAAAGAUUUAUCGCCAAUAAAUCAGCCCGCGUCCGAUUAGCUAGUUGGUGGGGUAAAGGCCCACCAAGGCGACGAUCGGUAGCUGUUCUGAGAGGAAGAUCAGCCACACUGGGACUGAGACACGGCCCAGACUCCUACGGGAGGCAGCAGUUGGGAAUCUUGGACAAUGGGGAAACCCUGAUCCAGCCAUGCCGCGUGAGUGAUGAAGGCCUUAGGGUUGUAAAAACUCUUUUCGGCGGGGUACGAUAAUGACGGUACCCGCAGAAGAAGCUCCGGCUAACUUCGCGCCAGCAGCCGC
rnacentral:rRNA from 1 species